CCUACGGGAGGCAGCAGUGAGGAAUCUUGGUCAAUGGACGCAAGUCUGAACCAGCCAUGCCGCGUGCAGGAAGACGGCUCUAUGAGUUGUAAACUGCUUUUGUACGAGGGUAAACGCAGAUACGCGUAUCUGUCUGAAAGUACCGUACGAAUAAGGAUCGGCUAACUCCGUGCCAGCAGCCGCGGUAAUACGGAGGAUUCAAGCGUUAGCCGGAUUUAUUGGGUUUAAAGGGUGCGUAGGCGGUCGGAUAAGUUAGAGGUGAAAUCCCGAGGCUCAACUUCGGAAUUGCCUCUGAUACUGUUCGGCUUGAGAGUAGUUGCGGUAGGCGGAAUGUAUGGUGUAGCGGUGAAAUGCUUAGAGAUCAUACAGAACACCGAUUGCGAAGGCAGCUUACCAGGCUACUUCUGACGUUGAGGCACGAAAGCGUGGGGAGCAAACAGGAUUAGAUACCCCAGUAGUC
rnacentral:rRNA from 1 species